GACGAACGCUGGCGGCGUGCUUAACACAUGCAAGUCGAACGGAAAGGCCCUGCUUUUGUGGGGUGCUCGAGUGGCGAACGGGUGAGUAACACGUGAGUAACCUGCCCUGGACUUUGGGAUAACUUCAGGAAACUGGGGCUAAUACCGGAUAGGAGCUCCUGCUGCAUGGUGGGGGUUGGAAAGUUUCGGCGGUUGGGGAUGGACGCGCGGCUUAUCAGCUUGUUGGGGGGGUAGUGGCUUACCAGGGCUUUGAAGGGUAGCCGGCCUGAGAGGGUGACCGGCCACAUUGGGCCUGAGGUACGGCCCAGACUCCUACGGGAGGCAGCAGUGGGGAAUAUUGCACAAUGGGCGGAAGCCUGAUGCGGCAACGCCGCGUGCGGGAUGACGGCCUUCUGGUUGUAAACCGCUUUCGCCUGUUACGAAGCGUGAGUGACGGUAAUGGGUAAAGAAGCACCGGCUAACUACGUG
rnacentral:rRNA from 1 species